UGUCUAGGGAUGGGAAUCGAACCCACAGUGUUCCACUAACCGGGCCAUGUCCACUAGGCUACCCUGGAC
rnacentral:tRNA from 1 species